rnacentral:rRNA from 1 species
GAUGAACGCUGGCGGCGUGCCUAAUACAUGCAAGUCGAGCGAACGGACGAGAAGCUUGCUUCUCUGAUGUUAGCGGCGGACGGGUGAGUAACACGUGGAUAACCUACCUAUAAGACUGGGAUAACUUCGGGAAACCGGAGCUAAUACCGGAUAAUAUUUUGAACCGCAUGGUUCAAAGGUGAAAGACGGUCUUGCUGUCACUUAUAGAUGGAUCCGCGCUGCAUUAGCUAGUUGGUAAGGUAACGGCUUACCAAGGCAACGAUGCAUAGCCGACCUGAGAGGGUGAUCGGCCACACUGGAACUGAGACACGGUCCAGACUCCUACGGGAGGCAGCAGUAGGGAAUCUUCCGCAAUGGGCGAAAGCCUGACGGAGCAACGCCGCGUGAGUGAUGAAGGUCUUCGGAUCGUAAAACUCUGUUAUUAGGGAAGAACAUAUGUGUAAGUAACUGUGCACAUCUUGACGGUACCUAAUCAGAAAGCCACGGCUAACUACGUGCCAGCAGCCGCGGUAAUACGUAGGUGGCAAGCGUUAUCCGGAAUUAUUGGGCGUAAAGCGCGCGUAGGCGGUUUUUUAAGUCUGAUGUGAAAGCCCACGGCUCAACCGUGGAGGGUCAUUGGAAACUGGAGAACUUGAGUGCAGAAGAGGAAAGUGGAAUUCCAUGUGUAGCGGUGAAAUGCGCAGAGAUAUGGAGGAACACCAGUGGCGAAGGCGACUUUCUGGUCUGUAACUGACGCUGAUGUGCGAAAGCGUGGGGAUCAAACAGGAUUAGAUACCCUGGUAGUCCACGCCGUAAACGAUGAGUGCUAAGUGUUAGGGGGUUUCCGCCCCUUAGUGCUGCAGCUAACGCAUUAAGCACUCCGCCUGGGGAGUACGACCGCAAGGUUGAAACUCAAAGGAAUUGACGGGGACCCGCACAAGCGGUGGAGCAUGUGGUUUAAUUCGAAGCAACGCGAAGAACCUUACCAAAUCUUGACAUCCUUUGACAACUCUAGAGAUAGAGCUUUCCCCUUCGGGGGACAAAGUGACAGGUGGUGCAUGGUUGUCGUCAGCUCGUGUCGUGAGAUGUUGGGUUAAGUCCCGCAACGAGCGCAACCCUUAAGCUUAGUUGCCAUCAUUAAGUUGGGCACUCUAAGUUGACUGCCGGUGACAAACCGGAGGAAGGUGGGGAUGACGUCAAAUCAUCAUGCCCCUUAUGAUUUGGGCUACACACGUGCUACAAUGGACAAUACAAAGGGCAGCGAAACCGUGAGGUCAAGCAAAUCCCAUAAAGUUGUUCUCAGUUCGGAUUGUAGUCUGCAACUCGACUACAUGAAGCUGGAAUCGCUAGUAAUCGUAGAUCAGCAUGCUACGGUGAAUACGUUCUCGGGUCU